rnacentral:rRNA from 1 species
AACGAACGCUGGCGGCAUGCCUAACACAUGCAAGUCGAACGGGACCUUCGGGUCUUGUGGCGCACGGGUGCGUAACGCGUGGGAACCUUCCCUUAGGUUCGGAAUAACUCCCCGACAGGGGUGCUAAUACCGGAUCAUGUCUUCUGACCAAAGAUUUAUCGCCUUUGGAUGGGCCCGCGUUGGAUUAGCUAGUUGGUAGGGUAAAAGCCUACCAAGGCGACGAUCCAUAGCUGGUCUGAGAGGAUGAUCAGCCACACUGGGACUGAGACACGGCCGAGACUCCUACGGGAGGGAGCAGUGGGGAAUAGUGGAAAAUGGGCGAAAGGCUGAUCCAGCAAUGACGGGAGAGUGAUGAAGGCCUUAGGGUUGUAAAGCUCUUUUAACCGGGAUGAUAAUGACAGUACCGGGAGAAUAAGCGACGGCUAACUCCGUG